rnacentral:lncRNA from 1 species
GUUCUUCCAGUAAAGGGUAACUAACUGGCCUCGGAGGAAAAGCGCACUGCAGCAGGAUGAGCAAGCCCGUGCCAGCCGGAACUGCCAGGGCUGCCCCACGGUGGCAACCUGCUCGCCACCACCUGUCCAGCCACCUGCCUGAGGAAGCCCUUCCAACAAGGAGGGCUCACCUCGGCAAGAAACCAUACGCAGUUUUCAAGAGGAACCAGAAAGGGAAAGCAAAGGGUGCAACUUUAUUCUUAGGGGAAUACAACAAAAAGGCAUGUGUCUCUCUGCACUGCAUCCCGAGCGGCUGGAGUUCUCCACGGAGAGAGAGUUCUGUGCCCAGCGGGGGUGAGGACCCCGCAGCAGGGUGGGCAGUGGAGGGUGAGCCUGACACAGGUGAGUACAGGAAGCUGCACCCGAUGCUCACACGUCCAGACCCCCAGGCCUCGGGGAGCACGCGCCUCCGGCCCCCGCAGCGGUCCCCGCAGCGGCCCCAGCAGCACGCCGGGCCUCGGUCUCCUCAGCGGCGGCGCCCACCUGCGCCCAGUCCCCGCGGCCCGGUCCCCGCGGUCCGUUAAGCCGCGGCGCGCUCGGCCCCGUAGCAGCGACCGCAGGACCUCGGGCCCGGUAGGGCCUGGGCGGCCGCUCGCACACGGUCACGGGCCUCCGCAGGGACCGCGGCGUGAGGGGCGCGCGCCCGGCCGACGCCGCGGGCUCACCUUCUGCCGGAUCUGGCCCGACGUGGACACCUUACGGAUAAGCUUCUGCGGGGAGCCCGGCUCAGCCUCGGGUUCGCUGUCGGACGACUCCUCAGGCGGCGGCGGCGGAG